rnacentral:rRNA from 1 species
UCAGGUGCGAAAGCGUGGGGAGCAAACAGGAUUAGAUACCCUGGUAGUCCACGCCGUAAACGAUGUCUACUUGGAGGUUGUGCCCUUGAGGUGUGGCUUCCGGAGCUAACGCGUUAAGUAGACCGCCUGGGGAGUACGGCCGCAAGGUUAAAACUCAAAUGAAUUGACGGGGGCCCGCACAAGCGGUGGAGCAUGUGGUUUAAUUCGAUGCAACGCGAAGAACCUUACCUGGUCUUGACAUCCACGGAAGUUUUCAGAGAUGAGAAUGUGCCUUCGGGAACCGUGAGACAGGUGCUGCAUGGCUGUCGUCAGCUCGUGUUGUGAAAUGUUGGGUUAAGUCCCGCAACGAGCGCAACCCUUAUCCUUUGUUGCC